UGGGGAAUAUUGCACAAUGGGGGAAACCCUGAUGCAGCGACGCCGCGUGAGCGAAGAAGGUUUUCGAAUCGUAAAGCCCUGUCCUAUGAGAAGAUAAUGACGGUAUCAUAGGAGGAAGCCCCGGCUAAAUACGUGCCAGCAGCCGCGGUAAUACGUAUGGGGCGAGCGUUGUCCGGAAUUAUUGGGCGUAAAGGGUACGUAGGCGGUCUAUUAAGUCAGGUGUGAAAGCGUGAGGCUUAACCUCAUUAAGCACUUGAAACUGAUAGACUUGAGUGAAGGAGAGGAAAGUGGAAUUCCUAGUGUAGCGGUGAAAUGCGUAGAUAUUAGGAGGAAUACCGGUGGCGAAGGCGACUUUCUGGACUUUUACUGACGCUCAGGUACGAAAGCGUGGGGAGCAAACAGG
rnacentral:rRNA from 1 species